rnacentral:lncRNA from 1 species
GGGGCUGCAGGGUGGCUUUGCCAGUAGGAAGGGCGGAAAUUCCUGAAGAUGUAUUCAUCCAUGCUGCAUCAGCUGCUUGGUGUUUUCAUGGCAUCUCUGCACAUGUGGUGGGUUGAUCUUAAGCAGAAAACCAGAAGCGGCAGUGGUCUCCAUUAGAGACCCAAGGACCCCAAGCUCUCUGUGACACAAACAGGAAGGGCACUGUGGUGCAUUGAAAACCUGCGCCAGUAGUGCAUUACCAGUGCACUAUGCUGCUGUUUCAUCAAGGAGAAAGGAGGUGACCACCCUCAGAGGAACUUCAUGCUCUACAGUAUGCUUUUGAGUGUCACGUGGAGAAGUGUGGAAGGCGUUCCUCCAUGGAAGAGCGGUGACCGGAGCGUGAGCUGAUACCUGGCAGACAAGCUGGAUGUCAUUGCAACUGGUGGCGUAAGGAGAAGACAACAAGAUGCUUGUGUGGUUGUGCGUGCCGGGACUUGAUUGCGUCUUUUCUCAGACUACACUGUUUUUACUUGUACACAUGUAAAAUAAAUAUUGUUUGCUCAAUUUGAGA